AUUGAACGCUGGCGGCAGGCCUAACACAUGCAAGUCGAACGGUAGCACAGAGAGCUUGCUCGCGGGUGACGAGUGGCGGACGGGUGAGUAACGUCUGGGAAACUGCCCGAUGGAGGGGGAUAACUACUGGAAACGGUAGCUAAUACCGCAUAACGUCGCAAGACCAAAGUGGGGGACCUUCGGGCCUCACACCAUCGGAUGUGCCCAGAUGGGAUUAGCUAGUAGGGGGGGUAAUGGCCCACCUAGGCCACGAUCCCUAGCCGGUCUGAGAGGAUGACCAGCCACACUUGAACUGAGCCACGGUCCAGACUCCUACGGGAGGCAGCAGUGGGGAAUAUUGCACAAUGGGCGCAAGCCGGAUGCAGCCAUGCCGCGUGUAUGAAGAAGGCCUUCGGGUUGUAAAGUACUUUCAGCGGGGAGGAAGGCGGUGAAGUUAAUAGCUUCACUGAUUGACGUUACCCGCAGAAGAAGCACCGGCUAACUCCGUGCCAGCAGCCGCAGUAA
rnacentral:rRNA from 1 species